rnacentral:rRNA from 1 species
AGAGUUUGAUCCUGGCUCAGGAUGAACGCUGGCGGUCUGCUUAACACAUGCAAGUCGAACGGGAUCCUUCGGGAUUUAGUGGCGGACGGGUGAGUAACGCGUGAGAAUCUGCCCUUAGGUUGGGGACAACAGUUGGAAACGACUGCUAAACCCGGAUGAGCCGAAAGGUAAAAGAUUUAUCGCCUAGAGAGGGGCUUGCGUCUGAUUAGCUAGUUGGUAAGGUAAAGGCUUACCAAGGCGACGAUCAGUAGCUGGUCUGAGAGGAUGAUCAGCCACACUGGGACUGAGACACGGCCCAGACUCCUACGGGAGGCAGCAGUGGGGAAUUUUCCGCAAUGGGCGAAAGCCUGACGGAGCAAGACCGCGUGGGGGAGGAAGGCCUAUUGGUUGUAAACCUCUUUUGAUAGGGAAGAACACAAUGACGGUACCUAUCGAAUCAGCAUCGGCUAACUCCGUGCCAGCAGCCGCGGUAAUACGGAGGAUGCAAGCGUUAUCCGGAUUUAUUGGGCGUAAAGCGUCCGUAGGUGGCAAACCAAGUCAGUUGUUAAAGCGUAGAGCUUAACUCUAUAAGGGCAAUUGAAACUGGUUAGCUAGAGUGCGAUAGGGGCAAGGGGAAUUCCCAGUGUAGCGGUGAAAUGCGUAGAUAUUGGGAAGAACAUCGGUGGCGAAGGCGCCUUGCUGGGUCUGCACUGACACUGAGGGACGAAAGCUAGGGGAGCGAAAGGGAUUAGAUACCCCUGUAGUCCUAGCCGU